CGGGGCGUGGCGCAGUUUGGCUAGCGCGCUUGCUUGGGGUGCAAGAGG
rnacentral:tRNA from 1 species